rnacentral:lncRNA from 1 species
AUGAGCUAGCUAUAUUAAGGUCCUUAAUCUGAGGUCCACAGAUGGAGUGUUUGCCAUGUCCAAUACUACAUGCAAAAAUACACGCGUCUAUUUGAGGAUGUUUUUCUGGAUGGAAAGCUCCGUCCGGACACCAUCCAACGGUACGAUUCAACAAACCGUAGCUUCAUCUUGAUCACCUGGAAAUGCUCUUGGCCUUUGCAAAAUGGACGAAGAGGCUAACAAUGAAAAUACUGGAGGAAAUUUGCUCUAAGUUAGUCCCCAGAGAAACCAUUAGAGCAGUCCCACGGUGAUCCCCAUGACGAUGGAGCGCCAGAACCCGUGACUGGCAACGUAACACCAGUCUCCUCUGGAGUAAAUACGACCAUUUCAAGCAGACUGCCAACCAGACAGCAGAAAGCACAGCAGCUGGAAAGCACCGAGAACAGGCAGAGAAUGCUGCCUUGUGCACCGUCUAGCCAUCCGACCAGGAAUGGAGGCAAUCGGUGCUUCACCCUUUGAUGUUCCUUCCGGGUGUUCUGGUGCCCACAGCACUUGGGAAACCAAGGCAGAAGGAUCAUCACAAGUUCAAAGGCAACCUGGGACUCUAGACAGACUAUUCGAAAAAAUUAUACAAGUAAAUGCAAGAAAGUAAGCACUUCCUUUCGAGGUGGCUCGGUGUUCCUUAUCCCAUCUCUGUUUUCAUGUCACCCUUUCUCUGCAGAGACAUCCUUAGAAAGAAGGAGUAAGGGACUGCCCCAAAUGGUUUUUAACUGUAGAAGUUUCAGAAAGAAGGCUGUGUUGUUUUCAGUAAGGUAGAGGAGUCUCAACUCAUCUCCAUCCUGAAGCCAUUCUAACUGCAGACUCUUAAGCAAGGGUACAGCUUAGAGUACCAACAAAUGGCAAAAAAUACAGUCUGGAGAUAAUAUUCAAAAUGAACAAGAGCCGGGCGUGGUGGCUCAUGCCUUUAAUCCCAGCACUCGGGAGGCAGAGGCAGG